AACGCACGAGACCUGCGGACCUGCGGAAGGAUCAUUACCGAGUUAUCAACUCCCAAACCCCUGUGAACAUACCCGAACGUUGCCUCGGCGGGACCGCCCCGGCGCCCCUAGCGGCCCGGAACCAGGCGCCCGCCGGAGGACCCAAACUCUUGCUUUAAACAGUGGCAUACUCUCUGAGUCUCACAAACAAAAAAUAAAUCAAAACUUUCAACAACGGAUCUCUAGAUCGGAGAGCACACG
rnacentral:misc_RNA from 1 species